UACGAAGGCCUCAAGCGUUAUCCGGAUUUAUUGGGCGUAAAGUGCGUGUAGGCGGUUCGGCAAGUCUGUUGUCAAACCCCACUGCUAAACGGUGGGUCCGCGACGGAAACUGCCGGACUAGAGGACGUUAGAGGGGAGUGGAACAUACGGUGUAGGGGUGAAAUCCGUUGAUAUCGUAUGGAACACCAAAGGCGAAGGCAUCUCCCUGGGGCGUUCCUGACGCUGAUGCGCGAAAGCUAGAGGAGAGAAGAGGAUUAGAUACCCUCGUA
rnacentral:rRNA from 1 species